rnacentral:rRNA from 1 species
GCUUACGGCCAUACCACCCUGAGCACGCCCGAUCUCGUCUGAUCUCGGAAGCUAAGCAGUGUUGGGCCUGUUUUGUACUUGGAUGGGAGACCGCCUGGGAAUACCAGGUGCUGUAAGCU